UACAGAGGGGGCAAGCGUUGCUCGGAAUCACUGGGCGUAAAGGGCGCGUAGGCGGAUCUUUAAGUCGGGGGUGAAAGCCUGAGGCUCAACCUCAGAAUUGCCUUCGAUACUGGAGAUCUUGAGUACGGGAGAGGUGUGUGGAACUCCGAGUGUAGAGGUGAAAUUCGUAGAUAUUCGGAAGAACACCAGUGGCGAAGGCGACACACUGGCCCGUUACUGACGCUGAGGCGCGAAAGCGUGGGGAGCAAACAGG
rnacentral:rRNA from 1 species